CCCGCCCGGUGGAGCAUGUGGUUUAAUUCGAAGCAACGCGAAGAACCUUACCAGGUCUUACAUCCUCUGACAAUCCUAGAGAUAGGACGUCCCCUUCGGGGGCAGAGUGACAGGUGGUGCAAAAAAGUCAGCUCGUGUCGUGAGAUGUUGGGUUAAGUCCCGCAACGAGCGCAACCCUUGAUCUUAGUUGCCAGCAUUCAGUUGGGCACUCUAAGGUGACUGCCGGUGACAAACCGGAGGAAGGUGGGGAUGACGUCAAAUCAUCAUGCCCCUUAUGACCUGGGCUACACACGUGCUACAAUGGCAGAACAAAGGGCGGGAAACCGCGAGGUUAAG
rnacentral:rRNA from 2 species